rnacentral:rRNA from 1 species
AUUGAACGCUGGCGGAAUGCUUUACACAUGCAAGUCGAACGGCAGCACGGGGGCAACCCUGGUGGCGAGUGGCGAACGGGUGAAUAAUACAUCGGAACGUGCCCAGUCGUGGGGGAUAACGUAGCGAAAGUUACGCUAAUACCGCAUACGAUCUACGGAUGAAAGCGGGGGACCGUAAGGCCUCGCGCGAUUGGAGCGGCCGAUGUCAGAUUAGGUAGUUGGUGAGGUAAAGGCUCACCAAGCCGACGAUCUGUAGCUGGUCUGAGAGGACGACCAGCCACACUGGGACUGAGACACGGCCCAGACUCCUACGGGAGGCAGCAGUGGGGAAUUUUGGACAAUGGGCGCAAGCCUGAUCCAGCCAUUCCGCGUGCAGGGCGAAGGCCUUCGGGUUGUAAACUGCUUUUGUACGGAACGAAAAGGCUCUGGUUAAUACCUGGGGCUCAUGACGGUACCGUAAGAAUAAGCACCGGCUAACUACGUGCCAGCCGCCGCAGUAA